rnacentral:rRNA from 1 species
UACGUAGGUGGCAAGCGUUGUCCGGAGUUAUUGGGCGUAAAGCGCGCGCAGGCGGUGUGGUAAGUCUCUGGUGAAAGCGCUCGGCUUAACUGGGCGAGGGCCGGGGAGACUGCCACGCUGGAGGGGAGCAGUGGCGAGUGGAAUUCCGGGUGUAGUGGUGAAAUGCGUAGAGAUGCGGAGGAACACCGAUGGCGAAGGCAGCCCCCUGGGCUAACACUGACGCUCAGGCACGAAAGCGUGGGGAGCAAACAGG